rnacentral:rRNA from 1 species
UACGUAGGGGGCAAGCGUUGUCCGGAUUUAUUGGGCGUAAAGAGCGUGUAGGCGGCCUUACAGGUCAGCUGUGAAAACUCGAGGCUCAACCUCGAGACGUCGGUUGAAACCGUAUGGCUAGAGUCCGGAAGAGGAGAGUGGAAUUCCCGGUGUAGCGGUGAAAUGCGCAGAUAUCGGGAAGAACACCCGUGGCGAAGGCGGGUCUCUGGACAGUUCCUGACGCUGAGGCACGAAGGUCAGGGGAGCAAACGGG